GCGCGUGUGCGUGCGUGUGUGUGUGUCCCUUUCCAAGCAGGGACUGGAGGCGUGUGUGUGUGUGUUUUGAGAGAGUGACUGAAUUAGCGAGAGAGAGAGAGGGAGAAUUGCACAACACAUCCUUUUCUCUCACCAGCUCUUCAUCCCCCAGAUAGAGAAGAACAGCAUCCAUUUGUAAAUGUUAGCUUUGCUCUCAUCACACGAUGACCACCACUAGUUUUGAUUUCCCUUUAGCUCCUCCCCCCCACCCCGCCACCAGGGAGGGGGGGGGCCGGCGAAUCAUAAGGGACGUGACUGUGUGCGUGCGCGCAUCCGCGUGAGAUUUGUUUUUGUAUGUAUGCGUGCGUGCGUGUGUGCGUGCGUUCUCCGUGUUCAUUUACUGUCGAUAGAAAUGAGUUCAGACUACAGGUACUCAUUUUGAAUACAUGUGCUGUUUAUUUUUGUUUUGUUUGUUUUGUUUUUUUGUAUGUGUAUGAAUGCACAUUUGUGCCUAAGAACUUGGAUAGGGUGCAUGGCCAUUGAGACAUUAACUCUUUUUUGAGAGCGAGUGCGAUGUGUGUCAGUGCUCAGCACAGUAUGUAAAGUAUGUACGUUUCUAUGGUAAAAAUAUUUCUAGUCGAGCGCAGGGGUGAUCCAUCGGAAAGGUUUUAAGUCCAGUCUGGUUUUUUUUUUUUUUUUUUCCUGGGGUGUGAUCACGUUGCCUUUUGUCAGCUCUCGAACUUGUGAAUGAAAGGUGUCGAGUUUCUGACUCUGGAAAAAAAAAUACACAUAAAAAAGAAAAGAAAAAAAAAUACAGCAUCUUAAUGUGCGUGUGCACAGGACGGUGCAUGAAAUGUUAGCAUAUUGUGUUACUUAUUCGUUGUUGCAAUUUGGUAAUGACGAGUUUUCUUUUUUUAAAUGAGAAAUAUAUAUGAAUAUAUACAUUAUAUACAAAGUUUAAAAAGUAUUUGGACUAAGAUGAUGAGCACUUGGGGCUGCUAUUUUUGUUGUGUGUUUUUAAAAACAAUUUUUUUUCUUAAUUUGUUUUUUUCAUUUUUGUUUCAUUAUUGCCAUGUGAAGUGUGUAUUAUUUCUUUCUUAAGAAAAAUAUUGAAUGUAUUCCAAAAAGAAAAAAAAAAAACAUGACGAGAAACCCAUGCUGAUACCAGAUUUUCUUUUUCCUCAGAAGAUUUCAAAAAUGGAAACAAAAUACAGAAAAGCUUCAAAGAGUUUAGCGAGGUCUUUUUUUUUUUUUUUCCUCCUUUGUUUUUUCAUUUACAUCGCGGAGAAGGAAAAAGAAAAGUCGGGAUGGAUACAGUUGAACACACUGCCUCUACAAUCCUGGUCAUACAAACAGUGACUAAAAGAAAGGACUCUUUCUAUUCCAUACUGGAGCUUUGGUUGUUUACAAACCACAUGGAUAUCUGUGGGCGCAUUUUAUUUUAUUUUAUUUUUUUGUUUUGAUCCCACACGAGACGGGUGGGGUUUGCAAGUGCGCUUCUGCCAUACGGACAUUGAGUGGUGUUGGGUUUAUUUUUUUUAUUUUUAUUUUUUUUUGUUUUUGGAGGAAGAGCGGCAGGCAUCAGCACGGGCGAGACCCUCGAACUGGACCCGUGCUCGUGGCGGCGGGUCGGCCGUGGAGCGGACUCUGGGGAAGGGAGGGGGGGUUUGGUGCCCCCGAUGUGUGGAGAUCAGAGUGCGUGGGGGGGCCACAAAAAAAAAACAAAAAAAAACACCCCACCACCACCCUGGAGGGGACGGAGAGGGCAGCAUCAGUACACCUGCGACGUGCACUCUGUCUUCACACCCUGCCCUCAUCAACUCACCUAUGCACUUUUGUUCAUUCAAGCUGUGAGGUACAAUUUCGGGGAUGGGAGCACAAUUACAACAGGAGGAUUGCUGCGACUUUGACAAAGUCACUGAAAAGAUAUUCCCAAACUGAAAAAAGAAAAAAGAGACUCGAGAAGACGGUCUUCUUCUCCCACCUCCUGUAUAUAACCAUAUUUUUGUAUUAUCUUUCAGAGUAGAAAGAAAAAUUUGCAAAUGGAUGAAGGAAAAUUCAUGAAAAAGUUGAUUAUAUGGAGUGAAUGUUCUUCAAGAAACUUUUUUUUUUAUUUUUGAAUUUUUUUUUUUUUUUUUUUUUUUUGAGAUGGACUCGCUGUGAGUUUUUUCUCUUGAGUUCGCCAGUAACCCCGAAACGUUCGUGGAUGGAGCGAAAGGGGUCAAAAUAACAAAAAAAAAAACAAAAAAAAAACACCCCACCUGGACUUGAGGUGUGAGACGUGCUGCCGUGGCUCCAAGACUGACUGAUAGUAACUUAUCAUCGAGGUCGCAGCGGCGGCGGGAGAGCCGGUCGUCGGCGGAGGAGGCGGAGACGCCUCCACUUCCUCUCCAAACCCGGCGGAGGCCUCCGGAGCUGAAGGGUGACCGCUCGAGGAAAAACGCUCGGUAUUGGAAUCUGGCUGUACUUUAUUUGCUGCCCUCUGCAAGGAGGAUCUAUUCUACAGCCAGCCCAUGAGCCAGUUGUCCCUAAACCUGUCCCUUUGAACUUUAACCCCCCUCCCCAACCCUUCAAGAAACUCUUUCUUGACCUCGGACUGGGCAGGCCAAUGGCAUUAUCAGUCGGACAGUUACCAGAUGGAGUUACAGGUUCAUCAUCUGCUUUGACAGCUUCGACCGCGCGCUCUGGAGCAGAGCGGGGCGCGCGCACGGCGGUCCCCUUCACCGGCGGGUCUGCCUGCAUGUCAGAGACAGAGCGCCGCGGUGGGCGUGGCGGUACUACCUCUCAGCCACCGGGAAUCCCCCCCCCUGCAAGCGGCGGAACUGGAAGAACUGAAAGAAUUGUACAAAGAAAAAAGAAAAAAUACGCAAAACGAACUUGAAAACAUGACAAACAAACAAAAAAACUACAUGCCACAUAGAUUUCUCGUGUCCAAAGGAGCAGCAGACACACUACAUGCACAGUGGCAGCGAAAGUUACAUUGGCUCUCCUCUGGAACCAUUUGUCUGCACACACACACACACACCACACAGUAUCAAACCACACAGACACACACGCAAGCAUCGACGCUCACCAGUAUAAAAACGCUGAGCUCUGUAAAUAGUGUAAAAAAAAGUUUUGUUUUGAUUUCUCUCUCAUAGUGGAUUUUUUUUUUUCUUUUCGCUUUAUUUCUCUGUUCAACAUGCCUUAAAAUUGUAUAGUUCAGUCUUGAACGCCGGGCUGAAAAAAAAUUUCUCUGUGACGAAUUUAAGUUGGAAGCCACCUGGAUAACUGUACUCUAGAGGUUUCAGCCAGACCGCUUUCUGUUGGCCAACAGAAUCGUCCUGUAUAAACUUGCUGAUCUCCUUUAAAGUUUCCUAGUUGACUGCGGAAUAAAGCAGCAAGUACCUUUUUUUUUUUUUCUUCUUCUUCUUCCUUUCUUUGGAUUGAGCUAAUUUUGCAGGUGGUUGGCUUUUGUUGCCCUUUAUUUCUUGUUUUCAUUCAAAUGAGGAGUUGGUUUUGUUCAGAUCUCAUAUUUCCAUUCUAGCUGAAGGUGCAGGCUUAAUAAAAGGGCUGCGGUCUGUACCGUCGGGGGCUGAGCUGAUCGGGAAGGGUUCCGAAACUUGUUGCUGUGGGGGAAAGGUCGGAUACGAAGCGGAGCAUCGGGGUCAAACUUGGCGUGAUAUUUUAACACUCCAGUAGACUUCAGAGUUAGUAAGACACAAAGUACUUAUUAUUUAGUUUUUUGAGAUGACAGCUUGUCUAAAAAGAGGUUUUUGUAGCAGCAUGCUUGUAUGGUCUUGAGAGUUGUGACGCCUGAACCUGAAGGUUGGGGUCCUUCUGAUCGUCAGUACCUGAAGAGAAGCCAGUGUCUUUGCUCUGUGUGUCUCUAUAAUAGGAUUCCAGAGAUUUACAUUUUUUAGCCAACCAUUGUAUCAAUGAAAGCUAAACCGUGUGCAGUUUUUAAAACUUCGAUGGCGUCCGACGCGUGAUCCAUUGAAGACACGUUGAGGUUUUGGCGUGGAGCCACUGUAACCGUGGAAGAGAUACUGUAUUUUUUUUGCUCAAUCGUUGCAUCGCCGAAGCAGAGAAAUCAUCCUGAAACAUACAAAUAUGUUAUCGCGUCUACGUAAAGACAGAAAGUCCUCGAUGACCGGCUGCAGCUGUUUGAGAUGAUCUUUUCCUGUUGACUUCAAGAUAUCGAGGAGCUUAUUCGACUCCCGUGUAGCUGCGUAUCCGACCACAUCCCAGUGAGACCCGCCGAUCAGCCCAGCUCCCGCGCUUCAUAAGUUUUUGAAUGUUGUUGAAAUGACAGCAUACAUGUAAAAGAAACUGUUUUGGAAAAGAACAACAGAAAGACGUGUAAAUAGUUUGGCUUUUGUUUGAAGAACAAAAUAAAUACUGAAUAAAUAGCA